rnacentral:rRNA from 1 species
ACGCCGCGUGAGUGAUGAAGGUUUUCGGAUCGUAAAGCUCUGUUGUUAGGGAAGAACAAGUACCGUUCGAAUAGGGCGGUACCUUGACGGUACCUAACCAGAAAGCCACGGCUAACUACGUGCCAGCAGCCGCGGUAAUACGUAGGUGGCAAGCGUUGUCCGGAAUUAUUGGGCGUAAAGGGCUCGCAGGCGGUUCCUUAAGUCUGAUGUGAAAGCCCCCGGCUCAACCGGGGAGGGUCAUUGGAAACUGGGGAACUUGAGUGCAGAAGAGGAGAGUGGAAUUCCACGUGUAGCGGUGAAAUGCGUAGAGAUGUGGAGGAACACCAGUGGCGAAGGCGACUCUCUGGUCUGUAACUGACGCUGAGGAGCGAAAGCGUGGGGAGCGAACAGGAUUAGAUACCCUGGUAGUCCACGCCGUAAACGAUGAGUGCUAAGUGUUAGGGGGUUUCCGCCCCUUAGUGCUGCAGCUAACGCAUUAAGCACUCC